AACAUAUCCAGUAAGAUUUCUAACAGUUGUGAGAUCACAUGCAGGAAGACUGUGAUUACUUGUGGUAUUGGUUUGCAGUUUCUGUUGGUAUAGGCAUUCUUUUGGACAAUUUGUAUUGGCUGUCAUGCCUCAAAGUAUUUGAUUUCCUUUAAAAAUGGUUUUUGAUUAGGCGAAUGACCAACAUAUCUUUGGUUAUAUUGAAGUAUUGAUUAGAUCAUUAGCUUUAGAUAUUGAUCUUGGUGAACAGUAUAGGUGACAAAAUUUGAUUAAGUUACAAGAAAUUUGAAGGGAUCUAGUUUUUCCAAGUUAUAUUACCUUUCAACUCGAAAUCCUUUUUGGAAAAGAGUUGCUAUGAUAUCAGAGAACUGCUUGUGUUAGUGAAUACCACUUCUGCAGAUAUUUGGGUCAAAGAAGUGUUCCUUUAUGUUUUCUGAUGUAUUGGAUGGGAAGUAUCAGGGAUAUGGCUCCCUUUGUUUUGUUGGAGUUGAAAGUUUAAGGAUCUUAGGUAGCUUUCACUUCCUUGGGUCUUUUCCUUUCUGUUUUUUAUAUUAUCUGUCCUAUUUGUUGGGAAGUCUUCCUUUUUUUAUCUGUUCAAAAAAGAUCAGUGCCUUCCUCUUUUUAUCUGUUCGAAAAAGAUCAGUACCCUCCUUUACUUGGAAACGAGAUAAUUUUUACUUUCCCUUUGCGAUUGACAUGGCUUGUUGUUAUUAGGAACUAUUUUUGUUGUUUUCAAUCGAACUUUUUAGAAACCUUUUUAGAGGAUUGAAAUGCACAAAAGUGAAAAAAUUUAUCUGAUUUGGUAAUAUUUUUUAUUGACAAGAUUCACAAGAAAAUAAUGUAGAAAUUUUUUGAACUGAAUGCCUUCUUGACUUCUGGGAGCCAAUUGAUUCAUAGGGAUGAGAUAAACCUGAGAAGGAUUUUUUUGCCAGUCUCCACAUUCAUCUUGAACUUGAAGUGCUUAAACAAGGUUAAAUGGUGGUGCUAUAGGCCGUGCCUUUGCCACAGACCUCUAAGAUCUCCAUGUUGUCCCUGUCUCAUUCCUAUGCCUUCCUCUCUGCUAAACUUUUUACUAUAGGAUUUGUUAAUGGGUUUUGACUCCUCUCAUGUAACUGUGCAUCUAAUGAAUGGAUGUUGUGGGUCUGAGAUGGCUUAGCAUGGGUUGAAAGUAGUGGUAGGGUUCCCGUCCGGGUUGCCAUAUGACCGUAAUCUGCUGUCUAUCCUAUGAACUGAUGAAACACCAAAGCAAAAGGAAGUAGAAUCUAGGAAUGAAAUCCAACCUUUGGAAUGAAAACUAGUCCCCUGUUGUUUAAACAUAGUUUUAGAGCAAUAUAAUAUGCACUUCCCUAGUGCUCGAUAAAGUAAGAGUUUCCUUGUAAUGUUUGUUUAUAUUUCUUCAAGUGAACUGCAGUAUGUGCUUCUUAGAGGUAUCGAAUUAUAAGACAAACCAAUCGUUCAAAAUCAAAAUGGAAAGGGUUAUGUUUCUAUAUUUAGCUGCUUGUUGUGUUUGUGUCAUGAAAAGUUGGAAAAUGAAACA
rnacentral:lncRNA from 1 species